rnacentral:rRNA from 1 species
CAGUAGCCACGGGAAUACGUAGGUGGCAAGCGUUGUCCGGAAUUAUUGGGCGUAAAGGGCUCGCAGGCGGUUUCUUAAGUCUGAUGUGAAAGCCCCCGGCUCAACCGGGGAGGGUCAUUGGAAACUGGGAAACUUGAGUGCAGAGGAGGAGAGUGGAAUUCCACGUGUAGCGGUGAAAUGCGUAGAGAUGUGGAGGAACACCAGUGGCGAAGGCGACUCUCUGGUCUGUAACUGACGCUGAGGAGCGAAAGCGUGGGGAGCGAACAGGAUUAGAUACCCGCGUAGUCCCUGUCUCUUAUAA